AACGCUAGCUACAGGCUUAACACAUGCAAGUCGAGGGGCAGCGCAGUGUAGCAAUACAUGGGCGGCGACCGGCGCACGGGUGCGUAACGCGUAUCCAACCUUCCCGUUACUCAGGGAUAGCCUUCCGAAAGGGAGAUUAAUACCUGAUGGUGUUUGAAUUCCGCAUGUUAUUCAAACUAAAGAUUUAUCGGUAACGGAUGGGGAUGCGUGACAUUAGGUAGAUGGCGGGGUAACGGCCCACCAUGCCCACGAUGUCUAGGGGUUCUGAGAGGAAGGUCCCCCACACUGGAACUGAGACACGGUCCAGACUCCUACGGGAGGCAGCAGUGAGGAAUAUUGGUCAAUGGUCGGAAGACUGAACCAGCCAAGUAGCGUGAAGGAUGAAGGUUCUAUGGAUUGUAAACUUCUUUUAUACGGGAAUAAAACCACCUACGUGUAGGUGGCUUGUAUGUACCGUAUGAAUAAGCAUCGGCUAACUCCGUGCCAGCAGCCGCGGUAAUACGGAGGAUGCGAGCGUUAUCCGGAUUUAUUGGGUUUAAAGGGAGCGUAGACGGGGGAUUAAGUCAGUUGUGAAAGGCUGCGGCUCAACCGCAGCACUGCAGUUGAUACUGGUUUCCUUGAGUGCGGUUGAGGUGUAUGGAAUUCGUGGUGUAGCGGUGAAAUGCUUAGAUAUCACGAAGAACUCCGAUUG
rnacentral:rRNA from 1 species